rnacentral:rRNA from 1 species
AGAGUUUGAUCCUGGCUCAGGACGAACGCUGGCGGCGUGCUUAACACAUGCAAGUCGAGCGGAAAGGCCCUUCGGGGUACUCGAGCGGCGAACGGGUGAGUAACACGUGAGUAACCUGCCCCUGACUCUGGGAUAAGCCCGGGAAACUGGGUCUAAUACCGGAUCACACCUCCUCGCAUGGGGUGGGUGUGGAAAGUUUUUCGGUUGGGGAUGGACUCGCGGCCUAUCAGCUUGUUGGUGGGGUAAUGGCCUACCAAGGCGACGACGGGUAGCCGGCCUGAGAGGGCGACCGGCCACACUGGGACUGAGACACGGCCCAGACUCCUACGGGAGGCAGCAGUGGGGAAUAUUGCGCAAUGGGCGAAAGCCUGACGCAGCGACGCCGCGUGGGGGAUGACGGCCUUCGGGUUGUAAACCUCUUUCAGCAGGGACGAAGUUGACGUGUACCUGCAGAAGAAGCGCCGGCUAACUACGUGCCAGCAGCCGCGGUAAUACGUAGGGCGCAAGCGUUGUCCGGAAUUAUUGGGCGUAAAGAGCUCGUAGGUGGCUUGUCACGUCGGGUGUGAAAGCUUGGGGCUUAACUCCAGGUCUGCAUUCGAUACGGGCUGGCUAGAGGUAGGUAGGGGAGAACGGAAUUCCUGGUGUAGCGGUGAAAUGCGCAGAUAUCAGGAGGAACACCGGUGGCGAAGGCGGUUCUCUGGGCCUUACCUGACGCUGAGGAGCGAAAGCGUGGGGAGCGAACAGGAUUAGAUACCCUGGUAGUCCACGCUGUAAACGUUGGGCGCUAGGUGUGGGGACCUUCCACGGUUUCCGCGCCGUAGCUAACGCAUUAAGCGCCCCGCCUGGGGAGUACGGCCGCAAGGCUAAAACUCAAAGGAAUUGACGGGGGCCCGCACAAGCGGCGGAGCAUGUUGCUUAAUUCGACGCAACGCGAAGAACCUUACCAAGGCUUGACAUUGCCCGGAAACACUCAGAGAUGGGUGCCUCUUCGGAUCGGGUGACAGGUGGUGCAUGGCUGUCGUCGGCUCGUGUCGUGAGAUGUUGGGUUAAGUCCCGCAACGAGCGCAACCCUUGUUCAAUGUUGCCAGCAACACCUUCGGGUGGUUGGGGACUCAUUGGAGACUGCCGGGGUCAACUCGGAGGAAGGUGGGGAUGACGUCAAGUCAUCAUGCCCCUUAUGUCUUGGGCUGCAAACAUGCUACAAUGGCCGGUACAGAGGGCUGCGA